rnacentral:rRNA from 1 species
AUGCGUAGGCGACUAGGCAAGUCUAAUGUGAAAGACCGAGGCUCAACUUCGGAAUUGCGUUAGAAACUGCUUAGAUUGAGUCAGAUAGAGGGAGGCGGAAUUUCUGGUGUAGCGGUGAAAUGCGUUGAUAUCAGAAAGAACACCAAUUGCGAAGGCAACCUCCUGGGUCUUGACUGACGCUAAGGCUCGAAAGCGUGGGUAGCAAAAC